rnacentral:SRP_RNA from 2 species
GCUGGGCGUGGUGGCGCAAGCCUGUAGUCCCAGCUACUUGGGAGGCUGAGGCAGGAGAAUUGCUUGAACCCAGGAGAUGGAGGUUGCAGUGAGCCGAGAUCGCGCCACUGCACUCCAGCCUGGGCAACAGAGCAAGACUCAGUCUCAA